GAUCAUAGCUCAGGAUGAACGCUAGCUACAGGCUUAACACAUGCAAGUCGAGGGCAGCAUGGACUCAGCUUCGCUGAGUUUGAUGGCGACCGGCGCACGGGUGAGUAACGCGUAUCCAACCUGCCCUUUACUCCGGGAUAGUCUCCUGAAAGGGAGUUUAAUACCGGAUGUGUUUGUCUUUCCGCAUGGGAGCGACAAAUAAAGAUUGAUUGGUAAAGGAUGGGGAUGCGUCCCAUUAG
rnacentral:rRNA from 1 species